UCGAGCGGAUGAAGGGAGCUUGCUCCUGGAUUCAGCGGCGGACGGGUGAGUAAUGCCUAGGAAUCUGCCUGGUAGUGGGGGAUAACGUCCGGAAACGGGCGCUAAUACCGCAUACGUCCUGAGGGAGAAAGUGGGGGAUCUUCGGACCUCACGCUAUCAGAUGAGCCUAGGUCGGAUUAGCUAGUUGGUGGGGUAAAGGCCUACCAAGGCGACGAUCCGUAACUGGUCUGAGAGGAUGAUCAGUCACACUGGAACUGAGACACGGUCCAGACUCCUACGGGAGGCAGCAGUGGGGAAUAUUGGACAAUGGGCGAAAGCCUGAUCCAGCCAUGCCGCGUGUGUGAAGAAGGUCUUCGGAUUGUAAAGCACUUUAAGUUGGGAGGAAGGGCAGUAAGUUAAUACCUUGCUGUUUUGACGUUACCAACAGAAUAAGCACCGGCUAACUUCGUGCCAGCAGCCGCGGUAAUACGAAGGGUGCAAGCGUUAAUCGGAAUUACUGGGCGUAAAGCGCGCGUAGGUGGUUCAGCAAGUUGGAUGUGAAAUCCCCGGGCUCAACCUGGGAACUGCAUCCAAAACUACUGAGCUAGAGUACGGUAGAGGGUGGUGGAAUUUCCUGUGUAGCGGUGAAAUGCGUAGAUAUAGGAAGGAACACCAGUGGCGAAGGCGACCACCUGGACUGAUACUGACACUGAGGUGCGAAAGCGUGGGGAGCAAACAGGAUUAGAUACCCUGGUAGUCCACGCCGUAAACGAUGUCGACUAGCCGUUGGGAUCCUUGAGAUCUUAGUGGCGCAGCUAACGCGAUAAGUCGACCGCCUGGGGAGUACGGCCGCAAGGUUAAAACUCAAAUGAAUUGACGGGGGCCCGCACAAGCGGUGGAGCAUGUGGUUUUAAUUCGAAGCAACGCGAAAGAACCCUUACCUGGCCUUUGACAUGCUGAGAACUUUCCA
rnacentral:rRNA from 1 species